GAGGGAACACUGCACCGGAUGAGAAAAAGCUGCAGAAAGUUACCAACUCAGCCACAGGGCCAACAUAGGUACUGGCUUCCCCAGCAUUGACAUCUGCAAAUGGCAACGUCUCAAAGAAAGGUGGAUUCCAUCAUUAAGGAUCCCCAUUACCCAGGACUGCCCUCUUUGGACACUACCUCACUUAAAAAAAAUACGAUUACGUAUUGCAUUGAACUGCCGCUGCUAAGUUAACAAAUUUCACGUCACAUGCCGGUGAUAAUAAACCUGAUUCUGAUUCUUCAUUGUUACCGCUGAGGAGGAGGUUACAGGAGACUAAAAACACACCCACAGUGAUUCAGGAACAGCUUCUUCCUCGUCUACACCAUCAGAUUUCUGAACGGACAAUGGCCCCGUUAUGAGGAAGAUGGAUGAAGAAAAGUCAGUGGACACUGUCUACAUAGAGUUUAGCAAGGCCUUUGACAAGGUCCCUCAUGGGAGGCUGUUCCAGAAGGUUCAGCUGCUUGGGCUUCAGGAUGAAGUCAUAAACUGGAUUCAGCAUUGGCUCAGCGGGAAAAGCCAGAGAGUGACUGGUAGAAGAUGACCUGGAGGCCUGUGACUUGUGUUGACUAGUAGUCCUUUGCACUGUUCUGCUACCACAAAAUUAAAAAGAAUCAUGUCAUUUACGUCAGUAAUAAUAACUGUGAUUCUGAAUGCUGAUCUUUAUUUGUAAGGUUGCCGUGUCCGCAGUCUGACUAGCAAGCUGGGUAUGGUGUGGAGCACCUUGGUACUCCAACCCUCAGCUGCAUCAGAGUCUGGACUCAGAUCUAUGAAUGGUGCAUGAGCCCAUCAACACGACCUCACUACUUUGCCCACUAUUUACUAUAAACAUUAUGAUUGUAAUUUAUAAUUUUUCUGUAUUGCACUGUAUGUACUGCCGUUGCAAAAUGAAAAUUUCAGGAUAUAUAUUAGUGUAAUAAAUCUGAUUCUGAUAUUCAGUUUCCUGCAUGGUAGCCACCUACCUUGAACCAAUUCACUCGUCAUCAAUGAUUUGAAUUGACAUGAAAGUAACUCAAAAAUGCUGGAGGAACUCAACAGGUCUGGCUGCUCCAGCAUUGUGUGUGUGUGUGUGU